AAUGAGUUUUGACAUAUUGGGUGUAUCCAUUUUUAUCGAAGCUUUCAUUUCCGUGCUUAUCUUAGUUGUCGGUUUAGUUUAUGCAUGACGAAAAGGAGCCUUGGAAUGGUCUUAACUGAAUAUUUAGACAAAAUAGCAGCAAUAUAA
rnacentral:rRNA from 1 species